GUCCCUUAGAGCAAGGGAUAGCGCUUUGGACUUCUAAUCCAAAGGUCGUGGAUUCGAAUCCCACCUGGGAUG